ACACCCUCAAGCUCUGCUUGGUGUUGGGCGUCUGUCCCGCCUCCGUGCGCGGACUCGCCUCAAAGCGAUUGGCGGCUGGUACCACGGCCUGGAGUGCAGCAGAAUUGCGCUCCUCGUCCGGGGUCUGGCUCCCAGAAGCGAACCUUUUUCACUU
rnacentral:misc_RNA from 1 species